UUUCCGUAGGUGAACCUGCGGAAGGAUCAUUACCGAGUGAGGGCCCCUCGGGGUCCAACCUCCCACCCGUGUUUAACGAACCUUGUUGCUUCGACGGGCCCGCCUCACGGCCGCCGGGGGGCAUCUGCCCCCGGGCCCGCGCCCGCCGAAGCCACCUGUGAACGCUGUCUGAAGUAUGCAGUCUGAGACAAUUAUUAAAUUAAUUAAAACUUUCAACAACGGAUCUCUUGGUUCCG
rnacentral:misc_RNA from 1 species